GUGCUUUGCGGCCGUCCAGCGUGCUGGUGCUUCGUGGGGGCCGCGGCUGAGGUUCCACAUCUAGAGAUUUGACCAGUCACAGGUCCCAAAUAUUUGGGGAGAAAAAUUAUCCACAGGUUGUCACCAGCGACAGUACUGAUGGCUGGUCCCCUGUGGAGGGCAGCAGUCUUUGUACAGAGACAUAGGACGGCUCUCUUGGUGGGUUCCUGCACAGGCCUGUUUGGAAUUCAAAUUUCAUACCACCUGUGCCCAGAUCCCGUGGUCCGGUGGCUAUACCAAUACUGGCCACAGGGCCAGCCAGCUCCACUCUUCCCAGAGCUGCAGAACCUCUUCCAAAAGGUGCUCCAGGACCUGGGUGUCCCAUCAAGCCACUCCUACAAACCCUUUACUACCUUCAUCUUCCAGCCUCUGAGUGCUGGCUUCCCAAAACUCCCUGCUGGGGCUGUAGUAGGCAUCCCUGCCAUCUUCCUGGGUAGCCUAGUAACCACUGAUCAUCCAGUCAUUGUACAUGGGCAAAAAGUGGACUGGCAAAGCCCAGCAGGCACUCGGCUAAGAGAUGCCUUGACCUUGUCCCAUGAUGCCCAGAAAUUCGCCUUGGCCAGGGAGGUGGUGUACCUGGAGAGCAGUGCAGCUGCCCUGCAGGCUGUGCCAGCCCCAGCUUGCCUGGCAGGAACCUGGGCACUUAGCGUGGGUGCUAAGCAUGCCCUAGGGCUCUAUGGAGGCCCUAGGAGCUUACGAGCUGCCUUCAACUUGGCGGCAGCAUUGGCAGGCUUUGUGGCUUACGCCUUCUGCACAGACUCUCUCACUCAUGCUCUGGAAGGCUGGCUGGACCGUCGCACAGCUUCCCUAUCUCCAGACUAUGCCCGCGGUGGAGUUGAAUUCUAUGAGAAGAUUCUAUCUGGCAACCUGGCCCUGCGCAGCCUUCUAGGCAGGCAUGGAGAAAAGCUGUUUGCACCCAGUGGGAACAUCAUCCCUAAACACUGGUUCCGCAUCAAACAUUUACCUUACACCACUCGCCGGGACUCUGUACUGCAGGUAUGGAGGAGGACACUGAACCAAGGCCACUCCUGAGGAACCCCUCACCAGGACAUUCCUACCUUGCUCGGGUACCUGAGAAGAUCUUUUUUUUUUUUAAUUAAUUUUUUUAUUUUAAUUUAAUUUUAUUUUUAUUGUGAAAAUACCGUACAGAGGAGUUACAAUUACAUGGGCAAGAUAACGAGUACGUUCUGAGAAGAUCUUUGAUGCCUCUGCACCCUUAGCCCAAGGUCACAAAAAUGUCAAACCACAGUUAGUGUAGAUUCUCUCCUUGCCUACCACUUACAGACUUGGUGACAUUAGACAAGUCCUUGUACGAUCUGAACCUUCCUUUCCUCAAUUGUAAACUAGGGAGAAGACAACUACCUCAAAGAAUUAUUCAGUUGUGUGGAGCCAUGAGCUGGAGAAGGGCCUGGCAAACAGCUCCCUAAAUAAACAAGCAAGAGCCAGGAUAGCAGCAUCAGGCAUUCCUGCAGAUCUGCCCCAACAGUAAGGUAAGGGCUAGAGGCUGGAGAUGUGGAAGAUGUUCCAGUGUUUAAAUAUGACUAGUAUAAUAGGCGUUUUGCACCAAUUAUACUAGUCAUAUUUAAACACUGGUGCAUUUACUGUUACUGAAGUUGUGAAAUUGAUAUAAUCGUAUAUACUCUUAGUGACAUAAGAUGGCUGCCAGUGAUUUAUGGACUUACUGUUCUCGACUUUGUGUAAUCUCCCCAUGCUCCCUUUAGUUCUAAGUAAUACAAUAUGGCAACAUUGAGAGUGCUGUAGUUUCAAUCUGGAAUGUCCCCCAGUGGCAGGAGUGUUAGAUGCUUGGUGCCCAGGGUAGCACUUUUGGGAGGUGGUGCAACCUUUGGGAGGUGGUAGCUGUGGGGGAUCCUUGAGUUAUUGAAGAUAUGCCCUCAAAGGGGCUAGUGGUACCUCAGCCCUUUCCUCAUUCUCUCUGCUCCGUCAUGUACUUCCACCUUGAUAGGCCACCUUACUUACCAUGGACCUAAAAGCAAUAGGGCCAACUAUAUAGACUGUAAGCUCCAAAACUAUGAGCCAAAAUAGCCUUGUUACAAUUGAGUAUCUCAGGUGUCUUUUUUUCUU